rnacentral:rRNA from 1 species
UACACAUGCAAGUCGAACGGAGUAGCAAUACUUAGUGGCGGACGGGUGAGUAACGCGUAAGAAUCUAGCUCCAGGCUCGGGACAACAGAGGGAAACUUCUGCUAAUACCGGAUGUGCCCAACGGUGAAAGAUUUAUCACCUGGGNGAUGAGCUUGCGUCUGAUUAGCUAGAUGGUGGGGNUAAAGCCUACCAUGGCGACAAUCAGUAACUGGUCUGAGAGGAUGACCAGUCACACUGGGACUGAGACACGGCCCAGACUCCUACGGGAGGCAGCAGUGGGGAAUUUUCCGCAAUGGGCGAAAGCCUGACGGGAGCAAUACCGCGUGAGGGAAAGAAGGGCUCUUGGGUUGUAAACCUCUUUUCUCAGGGAAUUAAAAAAUGACGGUUACUGAGGAAUAAGCAUCGGGUAACUCCGUGCCAGCAGCCGCGGUAAUACGGAGGAUGCAAGCGUUAUCCGGAAUGAUUGGGCGUAAAGCGUCCGCGGGU